ACCUGGGUGGCUCAGUUGGUUAAGCAUCUGACUUCAGCUCAGGUCAUGAUCUCAGGGUCUGUGGGUUUGAGCCCCAUGUCGGGUU
rnacentral:tRNA from 1 species